AUUGAACGCUGGCGGCAGGCUUAACACAUGCAAGUCGAGCGGGGGAGGUUGCUUCGGUAACUGACCUAGCGGCGGACGGGUGAGUAAUGCUUAGGAAUCUGCCUAUUAGUGGGGGACAACAUUCCGAAAGGGAUGCUAAUACCGCAUACGCCCUACGGGGGAAAGCAGGGGAUCUUCGGACCUUGCGCUAAUAGAUGAGCCUAAGUCGGAUUAGCUAGUUGGUGGGGUAAAGGCCUACCAAGGCGACGAUCUGUAGCGGGUCUGAGAGGAUGAUCCGCCACCCUGGGACUGAGCCACGGCCCAGACUCCUACGGGAGGCAGCAGUGGGGAAUAUUGGACAAUGGGCGGAAGCCUGAUCCAGCCAUGCCGCGUGUGUGAAGAAGGCCUUUUGGUUGUAAAGCACUUUAAGCGAGGAGGAGGCUACUAGUACUAAUACUACUGGAUAGUGGACGUUACUCGCGGAAUAAGCACCGGCUAACUCUGUGCCAGCCGCCGCGGUAAUAC
rnacentral:rRNA from 1 species